rnacentral:sRNA from 1 species
GCCGGGUGCGGUGGUGCACGCCUGUAAUCCUAGUGGCUUGGGAGGCUGAGGCAGGAGGAUCAAAGCCAGCCUCAGCAAAAGCAAGGCACUAAGUAACUCAGUGAGACCCUGUCUCUA